UACGGAGGAUGCGAGCGUUAUCCGGAUUUAUUGGGUUUAAAGGGUGCGUAGGCGGACUGUCAAGUCAGCGGUAAAAUACGGGGGCUCAACCUCCGCCCGCCGUUGAAACUGACGGUCUUGAGUGGGCGAGAAGUAUGCGGAAUGCGUGGUGUAGCGGUGAAAUGCGUAGAUAUUAGGAGGAACACCAGUGGCGAAGGCGGCUUACUGGACUGUAACUGACGUUGAGGCUCGAAAGCGUGGGGAGCAAACAGG
rnacentral:rRNA from 1 species